UCACAAUUCCAAGUAAGCCUGC
rnacentral:miRNA from 1 species